CACUAGGCUAGUCUCCCUCGAUGAACACCGACCGCACCGCACCGCAGCCGCAGCUCCCUCUCGAUUCGGCCGCGACCGCGAACCCCCUCCUUCCACCGAAGAACGGCAGGCAGCCGGUCGCACUUCCCCCGCCCACGCGUCGAUUGGAUUGGGUUGGAUUGCUGAUCCAUCCCAAUUUAGGGUUGUUUUCUUUCGUUGCUGGUUCAACUCGCGUGGAUGCAUUGACCACAAGGAGAGUAAUUUCUUUGGCGAAGAACAGUUUUAGACGCUUUUACAGAUUUGGGGUAUUGCAAUGGAGAUACUUAACGGUAAGGGUAUUCUCAUCAUUGUCGGGGGAAAAUAUUGUUUCUGUAAUUCAACCUUCUCAACAUUUUAGUUCAAUAGUUGGAAUCGUCAAUCGUGUAUUGCCAGCUUCUGUCAUUUACUACUGGAUCCUUAAUUCAGGUGUUUGCUUUAGCUCGAUAGCCAUCAACAGAACCAGAAAAAGCAAGUUAGUGAAGGUGGGAUCCCAACAUCAACGAGUUGGCUGGGCUUCAUCAAGGACAUGUUGUGAGUACUCUCCUGAUACUGCUAGAAAGAGGCAGGAGAGGUAUCAGCAACCCCAGAAUGUUGAUCUCCCUGAAAUACAACCAAAAAACAAAAAGAAGCCCUUUCCUGUUCCAAUUAAAAAGAUGUUGCAAGCUUCUCGGAGAGAUAAGAGGCUUGCGCAAAUGCGGAUAGAGAAGGCUCUUGAACCCCCAAAGAACGGUUUGCUUGUACCAGAGCUUGUUCCUGUUGCUUAUGAAGUUCUUGAUAACUGGAAAGUGCUCAUCCGAGGACUCUCUCAACUUCUGAAUGUUGUUACAGUUUAUGGUUGCAGAAAGUGCCCUCAAGUCCAUAUUGGUCCGGUUGGCCACCAGAUUCAAGACUGCUACGGUUCAGGAAGCCAGCGUCGGAAUAGUCAUCACUCUUGGGUUAGAGGCUCCAUCAAUGACGUCCUCAUCCCGAUCGAGUCUUACCAUCUUUUUGAUCCAUUUGGGCGGAGAGUCAAGCACGAGACCAGGUUUGACUAUGACAGGAUUCCAGCAAUCGUUGAGCUAUGCAUUCAGGCUGGUGUCGACUUACCACAAUAUCCGUCAAGGCGACGGACUGCUCCUGUCCGGAUGAUAGGUAAGAAGGUGAUUGACCGUGGUGGGUUUGUUGAUGAGCCUAAGCCACAGCGGUCAGAAGACUGUGUAUCUCUGCUUGCUGAACUCGACACUUUUAGCAACCAACAGGGCCAGUCAUCCUCACCAUCCAAUGUGAAAGAGCUUGCAGAUAGGACUUUGAAAGCUUAUAUCAAUGUCAGGCAAGGCGUUGGGCAGCUGAUGAGCAAGUACACUGUGAAAGCAUGUGGGUACUGCUCUGAGGUCCAUGUUGGUCCAUGGGGGCACAAUGUGAAGCUCUGCGGGUCUUUCAAGCACCAGUGGAGGGAUGGCAAGCAUGGGUGGCAGGAUGCGGUAGUGGAUGAGGUCAUCCCCCCAAAUUACGUGUGGCAUGUCCCUGACCCCAAUGGCCCUCCUCUCAGAUCCUCUCUUAGGAGUUUUUAUGGCAAAGCUCCGGCCGUUGUCGAGCUGUGUGUACAGGCAGGAGCUAAAAUACCUGACGAGUAUCGGCCGAUGAUGAGGACUGACAUUGUCAUCCCAGACUCUGAGGAAUCUCGGAUGGUUGUGUAACAACAGUCUUCUACUUCUACCCUGCAGUUCAGUAGUUCUCCACCAACCAAAGGUGCCGUUUCCCAGGCAUGUGGGGCUGUUGGCCCUGUAAUCGUAUUGCUUAGGGAGCAGCAAAUGCAUAGCCUGUAUAAUACAAGUAGCAUGGCUGAACCAUGAUCAACCAGUUUUAAAAUUAUUCACAGAGUUGGUUUAAGUAUUCGUCGAAAGGUUAAACGCAUGAACCGAGGAUGCACGGCGACAAACCUGAAAGGGAAAAGGAUGGCCUCCGCAACUUGUAUGAUGUACAUACCAUCUUGUUUAAUGGCCGCAGCUGCUUUAUUCUUGCCUAUGCUAGACUGUGAGGCACUUACAAUGCUCAGGCACGGCCAUACAGAUGGCCUCCCCUUUCUCUGCCGGUGUAGUCUGGUACUAUGCUUAAUUGUGAGCUAAUUCUUUGAAUUAAACUAAUCGCAGAGGUUUUGUUCGGGUAUUUGUGCGCCUGGCUGUAAUUAAUCAUGGACUAAAAGCUGCCCGAUUGUGCCCGUCCCCAGAUCAACACUCUGGGGCUAUGGCGGCAUGUAUACUCCUAUCAGAUCAUCAGUAUAUUGUGUUCCCCUUUUUUCUC